rnacentral:rRNA from 1 species
UUUAGAGUUUGAUUUCCCUGGCUCAGAACGAACGCUGGCGGCAUGCCUAACNCAUGCAAGUCGAACGCCUGUAGCAAUACAGGAGUGGCAGACGGGUGCAAAACGCGUGGAAACCUAUCCUUGGGUUCGGAAUAACCGCGGGAAACUGCGGCUAAUACCGGAUACGUCCUUCGGGAGAAAGAUUUAUCGCCCAUUGAGGGGUCCGCGUCUGAUUAGCUAGUUGGUGAGGUAAUGGCUCACCAAGGCGACGAUCAGUAGCUGGUCUGAGAGGAUGAUCAGCCACACUGGAACUGAGACACGGUCCAGACUCCUACGGGAGGCAGCAGUGGGGAAUAUUGGACAAUGGGCGCAAGCCUGAUCCAGCAAUGCCGCGUGGGUGAUGAAGGCCUUCGGGUUGUAAAGCCCUUUUGGCGGGGACGAUGAUGACGUACCCGCCGANUAAGNUCCGC